UUCACCAGUGUGGCGCAAUGGUUAGUGUGUUGGACUCUGACCUGGGAGACCGGGGUUCGAAUCCCCACUCAGCUGUGAAG